CCAACACUCAUCCUACGCAAGAGGGUUCAGUGGAAGAGUAGUCUGCUACUGCUGGUUGGGUCUGUGCCUUUGGAGGAGCAAUUCCAGCUCUGACUAGCACAGUGAGGCAAGCGCCUGUGGGACAAUGAAUACAUGCUCUCACCACCUGCCAUCCCACUCCAGCCUGGCAGAGACCUCAGUGUGUGUGUGUGUGUGUGUGUGUGUGUGUGUGUGAAUUAGAACUAAUGGAACCAGGUUUUCUAUAUACUCUUGGUUCAGUUUUGUUAGAACAUAUACAUCUAGUAGGUCUGUCUCUUUCCAGAAUCUAUGAUCUUCAUCCCGACAUGCUUUGAUGCUUCUGAUCCUGGUCUGCACAAAGCCAAUGAGACAAGGCAGAUACUCUCCCACUACUGUUCUUCAUUGGCAAGGAUCUGAGUGCACCAGAGCCUCCCAGAUCUUCCAUCAGUUCUUUUUGUCUCAAAGGCAGACCCUUCCAAGUCUUAGGAGGGAAUCUACAGGCACCCUCUAAACUGUCACCCUGAAACCUGGGCCAGCUUUCCUGACUCCCUGUACAAUAGACCUCCCUCUGCUGCUCAUGGCUGUGGGGAGAGAAAUCAGAUACUUGGUCAACAGAGGCUUGUGCUCCGUAGUACCAAGUCCUAGUGAGAGCAAGCAUUCAUUAUUGAACAAAUGUCUAAACUAAAAGUAAG
rnacentral:lncRNA from 1 species